rnacentral:rRNA from 1 species
GAUGAACGCUGACAGAAUGCUUAACACAUGCAAGUCUACUUGAAUUUGGGUUUUUAACUUAGGUUUGGGUGGCGGACGGGUGAGUAACGCGUAAAGAACUUGCCUCACAGCUAGGGACAACAUUUAGAAAUGAAUGCUAAUACCUAAUAUUAUGAUAAUAGGGCAUCCUAUAAUUAUGAAAGCUAUAUGCGCUGUGAGAGAGCUUCGCGUCCUAUUAGCUAGUUGGUAAGGUAAAGGCUUACCAAGGCGAUGAUAGGUAGCCGGCCUGAGAGGGUGGACGGCCACAAGGGGACUGAGAUACGGCCCUUACUCCUACGGGAGGCAGCAGUGGGGAAUAUUGGACAAUGGAGGAAACUCUGAUCCAGCAAUUCUGUGUGUGUGAAGAAGGUCUUCGGAUUGUAAAACACUUUUAGUUGGGAAGAAACAAAUGACGGUAC